GACGAAGGGGGCUAGCGUUGUUCGGAAUUACUGGGCGUAAAGCGAGUGUAGGCGGUUGCCCAAGUCCGCUGUGAAAUCUCGAGGCUCAACUUCGAGCUGUCGGUGGAAACUGUCUGGCUAGAGUCCGGAAGAGGAGAAUGGAAUUCCUGGUGUAGCGGUGAAAUGCGCAGAUAUCAGGAAGAACACCCGUGGCGAAGGCGGUUCUCUGGGACGGUACUGACGCUGAGACGCGAAAGCGUGGGGAGCGAACAGG
rnacentral:rRNA from 1 species